AGGCAUUUGGCAUUGGUAUAUACUCAAUUUUCUAUGCUAUGGGAUGUUUUCAUCGGUAUGCUGUUCACGUAAGGUUUCUUGUACGUUUUGGUGGAUACGUCCAUAAGCCAUUUUCCAGAGCAGUGUUGAUAAUUGAUAGUGUAGAUAUAGUCAAGCUCUUGUUUCAGAUCUUGUUCAUCAAUGGUGUACAUUGCUGCUCUUCUAAAGAAAAACUAAACACCACUUUCUUAAAUGCUGGAGGGUCUGCAGACCAAUUGGGGAUCAACACUGGUUCGUAAGUUGGUUUUCUGUAUACUGAAGUUUUUAACCUGGUAUUCCUAAGUUCUAUGUUAAUAUCCAAGUAAUGUAUUUUGUGGUGGCUAAGUUGUUCUUUCUUGAGGGUGAGGCCAUAUGCCAAGAACAUCAGUGCAUCUGAGAGCUCCAGAAUAGUUUCUCCAGGGUUUCAGCUGUUUAGGUGGUAGAAUCAGUCUUUUUGUGCAAGGAUGGUCAUUCACCAUUUGGCUAAUGAUCGUUCUAGGUUGUACAUAGGGGUACUUCUUUUUUUCCACUAAGGGCCUAGGUGUUAUAGGGUCUUUAUGGGACUUAUAUACACGAAAAGUUUAGGGCAGGCUGGGGUUGGUAUCCUUUGGUGUUCCC
rnacentral:lncRNA from 1 species